UACAGAGGGGGCAGGCGUUGUUCGGAAUUACUGGGCGUAAAGAGCGCGCAGGCGGUCGUUCAAGUCGAGUGUGAAAGCCCCCGGCUCAACUGGGGAGGGUCACUCGAUACUGAUCGACUCGAAGGCAGGAGAGGGAAGCGGAAUUCCCGGUGUAGUGGUGAAAUGCGUAGAUAUCGGGAGGAACACCAGUGGCGAAGGCGGCUUUCUGGCCUGUUCUUGACGCUGAGGCGCGAAAGCUAGGGUAGCAAACGGG
rnacentral:rRNA from 1 species